rnacentral:rRNA from 1 species
GACGAACGCUGGCGGCGUGCUUAACACAUGCAAGUCGAACGGAAAGGCCCUGCUUUUGUGGGGUGCUCGAGUGGCGAACGGGUGAGUAACACGUGAGUAACCUGCCCUUGACUUUGGGAUAACUUCAGGAAACUGGGGCUAAUACCGGAUAGGAGCUCCUGCUGCAUGGUGGGGGUUGGAAAGUUUCGGCGGUUGGGGAUGGACUCGCGGCUUAUCAGCUUGUUGGUGGGGUAGUGGCUUACCAAGGCUUUGACGGGUAGCCGGCCUGAGAGGGUGACCGGCCACAUUGGGACUGAGAUACGGCCCAGACUCCUACGGGAGGCAGCAGUGGGGAAUAUUGCACAAUGGGCGGAAGCCUGAUGCAGCAACGCCGCGUGAGGGAUGACGGCCUUCGGGUUGUAAACCGCUUUCGCCUGUGACGAAGCGUGAGUGACGGUAAUGGGUAAAGAAGCACCGGCUAACUAAGUG